UGGAGCGAAUCUCCAAAAAUUAGUCCCAGUUCAGAUUGCAGGCUGCAACUCGCCUGCAUGAAGUCGGAAUUGCUAGUAAUCGUGGAUCAGCAUGCCACGGUGAAUACGUUCCCGGGCCUUGUACACACCGCCCGUCACACCAUGGGAGUCGGUAACACCCGAAGCCUGUAGUCUAACCGCAAGGAGGACGCAGUCGAAGGUGGGAUUGAUGACUGGGGUGAAGUCGUAACAAGGUAAC
rnacentral:rRNA from 1 species